UACGUAGGUGGCAAGCGUUGUCCGGAAUUACUGGGCGUAAAGGGCGCGUAGGCGGCCUGUUAAGUCGGACGUGAAAUCCCUCGGCUCAACCGGGGAACUGCGUCCGAUACUGGCGGGCUUGAAUUCGGGAGAGGGAUGUGGAAUUCCAGGUGUAGCGGUGAAAUGCGUAGAUAUCUGGAGGAACACCGGUGGCGAAGGCGGCAUCCUGGACCGACAUUGACGCUGAGGCGCGAAAGCCAGGGGAGCAAACGGG
rnacentral:rRNA from 1 species